rnacentral:rRNA from 1 species
GUGGUGGGCGUCCCGCAAUGGAUGCCCCGCAUACGGCUCAGUAACACGUAUCAACCUACCCUCGGGACGGGGACAACCUCGGGAAACUGAGGAUAAUCCCCGAUAGUGAGGACGCUGGAAUGCCCCCUUGCCCAAAUCCUCCGGGGCCCGAGGAUGGGACUGCGGCCUAUCAGUUGUUGGUGGUGUUACGGACCACCAAGCCUACAACGGGUACGGGCGAUGGGAGUCGGAGCCCGGAGAUGGGAACUGAGACAAGGCCCCAGCCCUAAGGGGCGCACAGCGCGAAAACUCCGCAAUGCGCGAAAGCGUGACGGGGGAACCCCAAGUGCCGUUGGUCUUUUGAUCGACGGCUUUUCGGGAGUCUAGGAAGCUCCCGGAAUAAGGGCUGGGUAAGUCGGGUGCCAGCCGCCGCGGUAAUACCCGCAGCCCAAGUGGUGGUCGCGAUUAUUGGGCCUAAAGCGCUCGUAGCCGGGUCUGCAAGUCCCUUGUGAAAUCGGGGCGGCCUAACCGUUCGGCGUGCAAGGGAUACUGCGGGCCUCGAGGCCGGAAGACGCCGAGGGUACUCUGGGGGUAGCGGUGAAAUGCUGUAAUCCUCGGGGGACCACCAGUGGCGAAGGCGCUCGGCGAGAACGGACCUGACGGUGAGGGGCGAAGGCUAGGGGAGCGAACGGGAUUAGAUACCCCGGUAGUCCUAGCUGUAAAGGAUGCGGGCCAGGUGUCUGGUGUUCCUCGAGAGCACCAUGUGCCGGAGGGAAGCCGUUAAGCCCGCCGCUGGGAAGUACGGCCGCAAGGCUGAAACUUAAAGAAAUUGGCGGGGGAGCACUACAAGGGGUGGGACCUGCGGUUCAAUCGGAUUCAACGCCGAAAAACUCACCAGGGGCGACAGUUGUUUGAAGGCCAGGUUGACGACCUUGCCAGACUAUCUGAGAGGUGGUGCAUGGCCAUCGUCAGCUCGUACCGUGAGGCGUCCUGUCAAGUCAGGCAACGAGCGAGAUCCUCGCCUUAGUUGCUAACAGUGGAAAGCUGAGCACACUAGGGGGACCGCUGGCGCUAAGUCAGAGGAAGGAGAGGGCGACGGUAGGUCCGUAUGCCCCGAAUCCCUGGGCCACACGCGGGUCACAAUGCGUAGGACAAUGGGUUGCAACUCCGUAAGGGGAAGCCAAUCCCCUAAACUACGCUCGGUUCGGAUCGAGGGCUGCAACUCGCCCUCGUGAAGCUGGAAUCC